rnacentral:rRNA from 1 species
ACGAACGCUGGCGGCAUGCCUAACACAUGCAAGUCGCACGAGACCUUCGGGUCUAGUGGCGCACGGGUGCGUAACGCGUGGGAACCUGCCCUUAGGUUCGGAAUAACUCCCCGAAAGGGGUGCUAAUACCGGAUAAUGUCUUCGGACCAAAGAUUUAUCGCCUUUGGAUGGGCCCGCGUUGGAUUAGCUAGUUGGUAGGGUAAAAGCCUACCAAGGCGACGAUCCAUAGCUGGUCUGAGAGGAUGAUCAGCCACACUGGGACUGAGACACGGCCCAGACUCCUACGGGAGGCAGCAGUGGGGAAUAUUGGACAAUGGGCGAAAGCCUGAUCCAGCAAUGCCGCGUGAGUGAUGAAGGCCUUAGGGUUGUAAAGCUCUUUUACCCGGGAUGAUAAUGACAGUACCGGGAGAUUAAGCUCCGGCUAACUCCGUG